rnacentral:rRNA from 1 species
UACAGAGGGUGCGAGCGUUAAUCGGACUUACUGGGCGUAAAGCGCGCGUAGGCGGCUUUUCAAGUCGAUUGUGAAAUCCCCGGGCUUAACCUGGGAACUGCAGUCGAGACUGUCUAGCUAGAGUAUGGGAGAGGGAAGUGGAAUUUCAGGUGUAGCGGUGAAAUGCGUAGAGAUGUGGAGGAACACCAGUGGCGAAGGCGACUCUUUGGCCUGUAACUGACGCUGAGGCGCGAAAGCGUGGGGAGCAAACAGG